rnacentral:rRNA from 1 species
UCCGUAGGCGGGCUAAUAAGUCAGGGGUGAAAUACCACAGCUCAACUGUGGAACUGCCUUUGAUACUGUUAGUCUUGAGUUAUAUGGAAGUAGAUAGAAUGCGUAGUGUAGCGGUGAAAUGCUUAGAGAUUACACAGAAUACCGAUUGCGAAGGCAGUCUACUACGUAUAUACUGACGCUAAUGGACGAAAGCGUGGGGAGCGAACAGGAUUAGAUACCUGGUAGUCC